AAUUCAAUGAGCUUGAUGUUAUAUAAGAACCGCUAUCUUCCAUGGUGUGACAUAUUCAGCUUUCAUAGAGUUUUUAUUUGAUACGUUUUUCUCUCCUCAUUCUAGAGCCUUCAUCUUGUUCAGGUGCCAAAAAAUGUCUUCAUCUUCCCUUUCCAUAACUCCAUUAAUCUUCGAUUCAAAUGCUUUUGCAUUCUCUUAUCAAUCACUUUCUUUCCUCUGUUGGCCCUUUAUAUAUUCUUACGGUCCCUCAAUUAGAUCUUCCAUAUUAUUUGUUCUUUAAUUCCUACAUACAUCAAGGAUCAUGCAUAGGUGUACAGGAGGAGAGAAGCUUUAAUUGGUGAGGCUGAUUUGGGAAGAAGAAGGAAAAGGAUCAGCAUAUAUGGAGGGUGAUCUUGAUCACGAGUAGAAAUGCAUGUCUUGAAGGGUUCUAUUGGUGGUUGGGAAUGGACUGUGAUGAGUGAUGUGAGAUAUCUCAUGUUGACAGAAGAGAGAGAGCACAACCCGGGAAUGGCUAAAGGAGUCUUUGCCUUUGUUGGGAGUGUGCCCUCUCUUCCUCUGUCAUCAUCACAUUCACAUGCCUUUGCUUUCUAGCCAAAGUAGACGUGUACAUGCAGCGUACUGCCUUAUACCAUUCAAGGUAUGUGAAGCUUUUCUUUGCCUCAGGUAAUAAUGUCGUUUUCAAAAAUAUGGAAAUGGGUAUGUCAAAUACGAUGGACAUGAGAAUGGAUAGAUUGAAAUGUUCCUUGACAUCACUGUCAUACAUGAUCUUUUUCUUAAAAUAAUAAAAUAAAUCAGAAUUCAAAUUAAAGAAAAGGGAAAUAGAAGUGGAUAAGAAACUCUAUUUUAUAUUCGUUGAAUUUUAUCAUAAUUAUAGUAAAAAUAAUAUCAAGAAUAUUCUUAGAGUUCAAUCUUGAUGUACACUAGUAGGGAUCAAAAUAAGUUAAGUUAUGCUAGAUUUUACAUAAAUAAGUUUAAUCUUUUUAAAAGUCUACUCUAUCUUAUUAGUUUAUUUAAAAGUAUUCUAACAAAAUAAAUUUUAAAUAAACUAACAACCCUUUAUUUAAAUAUGUCAAGUUAAACAUAUAAUUGCUAUUAAAAUUUAGUUUUUUUUUUAUAAAAAAAAACUAAUGUAACAUACAAUAGAAAAAGUACUAACAUAAAAGGCUAACUUAAAGACAUAGAUAAACAAAAAAAGCUAAUUUAAAAACAUGGGAAACUAAUGUAGAACGAUAAAAGCCAUACGAUUCAACAAGGCCAUGAAACUAUUAGUAACUUACAGAUUAUAAUGUCAGUCAUAGUCUAAUUAUUAUUUAUUUUGAUGUAGUAAAUAAUAUGAUCUUAGUUUUAUUGAUUUAUUUAAUUAACAAUGUUAUUAUUAGUAUUAUAUAUAUAUAGAAGGUCUAAUAAGUUUUUUUUAUAAGCCUAAGUUUAAUCUUUUUAAAUAAUUAGGUCUUUUUAAAAGUUCAAGCCUAGCAUUUUUAUUAAAUAACUAAGGUCAGGUCAUAUUUUCACCUCUAAUUGUAAGUGUAAAUUAAUUUUAUAUUAAUCAUAUAAUCACAAACCAUCAUAUGAUAAUUGUGUUAACUUUUAUAAUAAUUAUCUUAAAAUUCAUAUCAAAUCUAAUAAAAUUAAUUUACAUUAUCUUUGUUCUUAAUUACUAUAUACGUAUUUCAUGAGUUGUAGUUUUCUGCUGUUAAAAUUUGGGAGAAAAUGGUGACCAAAUAACAUUUCUCAAUACAAAAUGCAGAGUUCAAGAUAGAAAUAAAUGAUGCCUCAGCGGCUUCCCCUUUCCUUUCCUAGUUAUUUCCAAGAACAAUUGUUUUAAAGGGGAAAAAUUAGGAACACAUUGAGUAAUAAAAAAUUGUUUACUUACUCAUUUUCCUUUGUCAAUACACUCAUAAUUUGUUGCGAAUCAUCUGAGAGAAAUGAUUGUGAUAUAUACGUGCGUGCGGUGGUGAAAAUGUGAGAAUCCAAAUCAUCAGCCAACAAAGGAGCCAUUUUCUUUUUAGGAUACAAGAGCCAAUUUGGAUUCUACAGUUAAUUAAGGCGAAUAUUUGUCACAAUGUUGUUUUAUUGGAACCUUUUUAUAUUUAGUUGGUCUGCGGGAAUUUAAUGGCAUGCAGAUAUUUCAUAUUUCAGGCUCAGAAAAUUAAUGACCUCUUACUUUCGAUCUUUUCCUUUCUUUUUGUUUCGGUGGUGUUACGCUUGUCACAUUUCUAGUUUUGUAUAUGGCACGCUUUCAAUGAGCACGCUUAUGCACCACCCAUAAUUGGUAGGAAAACCAGUACAUAGUUGCAUACAUCAAACCUAAAACUAAUUAACCCGGUAGCUAUUUUUGUUUUUUAAUAAUUUAAGAUUUGAAUCCUCAUUCAUCUUUACGGAUGGAAUAAAGUAUUCACCAUAAUCUUUGGAUAUGGAAGAUUAAGAUAUGCAGGUGCAAAUAGAACGUGAGUUAGAAGAUUAAGUUGUACAUGAGCUAAUAGAAUUAUGUGACAGCAUUUACAUUUGUUUGUUUCAAAUUAUAUUAACGCAUUGGCAUGCAUAUUGAACAAUAACCGAAAUGAGUAAGAUAUCGAUUGUUACGGCAUGUCUACAACGUGUCAAGGCUCACAAGUCACAAAUGAAGCCUACAGAGCAAAAAUCAAACUGAAACGCCAAAACUGCAUGGCAUCAGCGGUGAGGAUACUUGUUGUUGGUAGAGUUUUAACUUAUUACUAGGAGUGUGGAUCCCGUGUUUUAAGUCACAGAAAAGAAAAAAGAGAAAAACCAAAAUAUUAAAAAAAUGGUAAAUCUGUCAACUUAUGACAUGUGAUGACAACGGAAUAAUUUCUAUGCAGAUAUAAAUUAAAAUUAUGUUGGAAAAGA